rnacentral:rRNA from 1 species
GAAGCGGCAACAGCUCAAAUUUGAAAUCUGGCUCUUUCAGAGUCCGAGUUGUAAUUUGCAGAGGGCGCUUUGGCGUUGGCAGCGGUCCAAGUUCCUUGGAACAGGACGUCACAGAGGGUGAGAAUCCCGUACGUGGUCGCUGGCCUUCGCCGUGUAAAGCCCCUUCGACGAGUCGAGUUGUUUGGGAAUGCAGCUCUAAAUGGGAGGUAAAUUUCUUCUAAAGCUAAAUACUGGCCAGAGACCGAUAGCGCACAAGUAGAGUGAUCGAAAGAUGAAAAGCACUUUGGAAAGAGAGUCAAAUAGCACGUGAAAUUGUUGAAAGGGAAGCGCUUGCAGCCAGACUUGCCUGUAGUUGCUCAUCCGGGCUUUUGCCCGGUGCACUCUUCUGCGGGCAGGCCAGCAUCAGUUUGGGCGGUUGGAUAAAGGUCUCUGUCAUGUACCUCUCUUCGGGGAGGCCUUAUAGGGGAGACGUCAUACAACCAGCCUGGACUGAGGUCCGCGCAUUUUGCUAGGAUGCUGGCGUAAUGGCUGUAAGCGGCCCGUCUUGAAACACGGACCAAGGAGUCUAACAUCUAUGCGAGUGUUUGGGUGUCAAGCCCGAACGCGUAAUGAAAGUGAACGGAGGUGGGACCCCAUUAGGGUGCACCAUCGACCGAUCCUGAUGUCUUCGGAUGGAUUUGAGUAAGAGCAUGGCUGUUGGGACCCGAAAGAUGGUGAACUAUGC